CNCUCCUAACCAUGUGACCAUACCAAACUGUUGCCUCGGCGGGGUCACGCCCCGGGNNNNNNNGCAGCCCCGGAACCAGGCGCCCGCCGGAGGGACCAACCAAACUCUUUUCUGUAGUCCCCUCGNGGACGUUAUUUCUUACAGCUCUGAGCAAAAAUUCAAAAUGAAUCAAAACUUUCAACAACGGAUCUCUUGGUUCUGGCAUCGAUGAAGAACGCAGCGAAAUGCGAUAAGUAAUGUGAAUUGCAGAAUUCAGUGAAUCAUCGAAUCUUUGAACGCACAUUGCGCCCGCCAGUAUUCUGGCGGGCAUGCCUGUCCGAGCGUCAUUUCAACCCUCGAACCCCUCCGGGGGGUCGGCGUUGGGGAUCGGGAACCCCUAAGACGGGAUCCCGGCCCCGAAAUACAGUGGCGGUCUCGCCGCAGCCUCUCCUGCGCAGUAGUUUGCACAACUCGCACCGGGAGCGCGGCGCGUCCACGUCCGUAAAACACCCA
rnacentral:rRNA from 1 species